rnacentral:rRNA from 1 species
AGGGGCAGCAUGAACUAGCAAUAGUUUGAUGGCGACCGGCAAACGGGUGCGGAACACGUACACAACCUUCCUUUAAGUGGGGAAUAGCCCAGAGAAAUUUGGAUUAAUACCCCGUAACACAACGAAGUGGCAUCACUUUGUUGUUAUAGUUUCGGCGCUUAAUGAUGGGUGUGCGUAUGAUUAGAUAGUUGGCGAGGUAACGGCUCACCAAGUCUACGAUCAUUAGCUGAUGUGAGAGCAUGAUCAGCCACACGGGCACUGAGACACGGGCCCGACUCCUACGGGAGGCAGCAGUAAGGAAUAUUGGUCAAUGGACGCAAGUCUGAACCAGCCAUGCCGCGUGAAGGAUUAAGGUCCUCUGGAUUGUAAACUUCUUUUAUAUGGGACGAAAAAAGGUCUUUCUAGACCCCUUGACGGUACCAUAUGAAUAAGCACCGGCUAACUCCGUGCCAGCAGCCGCGGUAAUACGGAGGGUGCAAGCGUUAUCCGGAUUCACUGGGUUUAAAGGGUGCGUAGGCGGGUAGGUAAGUCAGUGGUGAAAUCCUGGAGCUCAACUCCAGAACUGCCAUUGAUACUAUCUAUCUUGAAUAUUGUGGAGGUAAGCGGAAUAUGUCAUGUAGCGGUGAAAUGCUUAGAUAUGACAUAGAACACCCAUUGCGAAGGCAGCUUACUACGCAUAUAUUGACGCUGAGGCACGAAAGCGUGGGGAUCAAACAGGAUUANAUACCCUGGUAGUCCACGCCCUAAACUAUGGAUACUCGACAUAUGCGAUAC